GAUGAACGCUGGCGGCGUGCCUAAUACAUGCAAGUCGAGCGAACAGACGAGGAGCUUGCUCCUCUGACGUUAGCGGCGGACGGGUGAGUAACACGUGGAUAACCUACCUAUAAGACUGGGAUAACUUCGGGAAACCGGAGCUAAUACCGGAUAAUAUAUUGAACCGCAUGGUUCAAUAGUGAAAGACGGUUUUGCUGUCACUUAUAGAUGGAUCCGCGCCGCAUUAGCUAGUUGUUAAGGUAACGGCUUACCAAGGCAACGAUGCGUAGCCGACCUGAGAGGGUGAUAGGCCACACUGGAACUGAGACACGGUCCAGACUCCUACGGGAGGCAGCAGUAGGGAAUCUUCCGCAAUGGGCGAAAGCUUGACGGAGCAACGCCGCGUGAGUGAUGAAGGUCUUCGGAUCGUAAAACUCUGUUAUUAGGGAAGAACAAAUGUGUAAGUAACUAUGCACGUCUUGACGGUACCUAAUCAGAAAGCCACGGCUAACUACGUG
rnacentral:rRNA from 1 species